UACCCGCGGCCCGAGUGGUGCUCAUUAUUAUUGAGCCUAAAGCGUCCGUAGCUGGCCGGGCAAAUCUCCGGGUAAAUCGGGCCGCCCAACGGUCCGAAUUCCGGAGACACUGCUCGGCUUGGGAUCGGGAGAGGGUGAAGGUACUCCCGGGGUAGGGGUAAAAUCCUGUAAUCCGGGGGGGACCACCAGUGGCGAAGGCGUUCACCUAGAACGAAUCCGACAGUGAGGGACGAAGCCCUAGGGCGCAAACGGG
rnacentral:rRNA from 1 species